rnacentral:sRNA from 27 species
AGAUCACCAGUUCAUCUCGGCGUAUUUCGGCUUGGAGAAAAUAUACCGUCCUGCUCAGCGAUAAUGACCUCCAUGCUUGACGUAAGUACAUGGCAAAUUGCACUGUCAGAUAGUUGACGCUCUAGAAUUUUAUCAAUGAUUUU